UAUGAACGCUGGCGGCGUGCCUAAUACAUGCAAGUCGAGCGAACAGACGAGGAGCUUGCUCCUCUGACGUUAGCGGCGGACGGGUGAGUAACACGUGGAUAACCUACCUAUAAGACUGGGAUAACUUCGGGAAACCGGAGCUAAUACCGGAUAAUAUAUUGAACCGCAUGGUUCAAUAGUGAAAGACGGUUUUGCUGUCACUUAUAGAUGGAUCCGCGCCGCAUUAGCUAGUUGGUAAGGUAACGGCUUACCAAGGCAACGAUGCGUAGCCGACCUGAGAGGGUGAUCGGCCACACUGGAACUGAGACACGGUCCAGACUCCUACGGGAGGCAGCAGUAGGGAAUCUUCCGCAAUGGGCGAAAGCCUGACGGAGCAACGCCGCGUGAGUGAUGAAGGUCUUCGGAUCGUAAAACUCUGUUAUUAGGGAAGAACAAAUGUGUAAGUAACUAUGCACGUCUUGACGGUACCUAAUCAGAAAGCCACGGCUAACUACG
rnacentral:rRNA from 1 species